rnacentral:misc_RNA from 1 species
UAUCGAGUGUGUGCAGUUCUAAAUCCAGCAACUUCAUUUGGAGGAACAGCAUCAGAAAUCUCCUUUAACUCUUCUUUUGUGAGACUAACUCUCAAAGCUCCAAUAUUGUCUUUGAGAUUUUUAAUCUUUGUUGUCCCUGGGAUUGGAACAACAUCAUCCCCUUGAUUAAUAACCCAUGCAAGGGCAAGCUGAGGAGGAGUACAUCCAUAUUUUUUGGCUAAAUUUUCUAUUCGAGUAUACAAUAACUUAUUCUUUUCCAAAUUUUCUUCAGUGAACCUUGGUUGGAAUUUCAGCAGAGUCUCUGAAGGUAAACUUUCCACAACCGC